CCUUGACAUCCAGAGAACUUAGCAGAGAUGCUUUGGUGCCUUCGGGAACUCUGAGACAGGUGCUGCAUGGCUGUCGUCAGCUCGUGUUGUGAAAUGUUGGGUUAAGUCCGCAACGAGCGCAACCCUUAUCCUUUGUUGCCAGCGGUUCGGCCGGGAACUCAAAGGAGACUGCCGGUGAUAAACCGGAGGAAGGUGGGGAUGACGUCAAGUCAUCAUGGCCCUUACGGCCAGGGCUACACACGUGCUACAAUGGCGCAUACAAAGAGAAGCGACCUCGCGAGAGCAAGCGGACCCCAUAAAGUGCGUCGUAGUCCGGAUUGGAGUCUGCAACUCGACUCCAUGAAGUCGGAAUCGCUAGUAAUCGUAGAUCAGAAUGCUACGGUGAAUACGUUCCCGGGCCUUGUACACACCGCCCGUCACACCAUGGGAGUGGGUUGCAAAAGAAGUAGGUAGCUUAACCUUCGGGAGGGCGCUUACCACUUUGUGAUUCAUGACUGGGGUGAAGUCGUAACAAGGUAAGCGUAGCGAG
rnacentral:rRNA from 1 species